UACGGGGGAGCAAGCGUUGUUCGGAUUUACUGGGCGUAAAGGCGCAACGUAGGCGGACGUCGUUUAAGUCAGGGGUGAAAUCCUGGAGCUCCGAACUCCAGAACUGCCUUUGAUACUGGGAGUCUUGAGUUCGGGAGAGGUGAGUGGAACUGGGCGAGUGUAGAGGUGAAAUUCGUGAGAUAUUACGCAAGAACACCAGUGGCGA
rnacentral:rRNA from 1 species